rnacentral:rRNA from 1 species
UACGGAGGGUGCAAGCAUUAAUCGGAUUUAUUGGGCGUAAAGGGCGCGUAGGCUGGGAUAUAAGUCAGAUGUGAAAUCCCGGGGCUCAACCUCGGAACAGCAUUUGAAACUGCAUCCCUAGAGGGUAGGCGGAGAAAACGGAAUUCCACAAGUAGCGGUGAAAUGCGUAGAUAUGUGGAAGAACACCGGUGGCGAAGGCGGUUUUCUAGCUUAAACCUGACGCUGAUGCGCGAAAGCAAGGGGAUCAAACAGG